GAGUUUGAUCCUGGCUCAGCAUUGAACGCUGGCGGCAGGCCUAACACAUGCAAGUCGAGCGGAAACGAGUUAACUGAACCUUCGGGGAACGUUAACGGCGUCGAGCGGCGGACGGGUGAGUAAUGCCUGGGAAAUUGCCCUGAUGUGGGGGAUAACCAUUGGAAACGAUGGCUAAUACCGCAUAAUAGCUUCGGCUCAAAGAGGGGGACCUUCGGGCCUCUCGCGUCAGGAUAUGCCCAGGUGGGAUUAGCUAGUUGGUGAGGUAAUGGCUCACCAAGGCGACGAUCCCUAGCUGGUCUGAGAGGAUGAUCAGCCACACUGGAACUGAGACACGGUCCAGACUCCUACGGGAGGCAGCAGUGGGGAAUAUUGCACAAUGGGCGCAAGCCUGAUGCAGCCAUGCCGCGUGUAUGAAGAAGGCCUUCGGGUUGUAAAGUACUUUCAGCAGUGAGGAAGGUGGGUAUGUUAAUAGCAUACUCAUUUGACGUUAGCUGCAGAAGAAGCACCGGCUAACUCCGUGCCAGCAGCCGCGGUAAUACGGAGGGUGCGAGCGUUAAUCGGAAUUACUGGGCGUAAAGCGCAUGCAGGUGGUUUGUUAAGUCAGAUGUGAAAGCCCGGGGCUCAACCUCGGAAUUGCAUUUGAAACUGGCAAACUAGAGUACUGUAGAGGGGGGUAGAAUUUCAGGUGUAGCGGUGAAAUGCGUAGAGAUCUGAAGGAAUACCGGUGGCGAAGGCGGCCCCCUGGACAGAUACUGACACUCAGAUGCGAAAGCGUGGGGGAGCAAACAGGAUUAGAUACCCUGGGAAGUCCACGCCGUAAACCGAUGUCUACUUUGGAGGUUGGGGCCUUUGAAGCCCGUGGCUUUUUCGGAAGCUAAACGCGUUAAAGGAAACCCGCCCGGGGGGAAG
rnacentral:rRNA from 1 species